CCUACGGGAGGCAGCAGUGGGGAAUAUUGGGCAAUGGGCGCAAGCCUGACCCAGCAACGCCGCGUGAAGGAAGAAGGCUUUCGGGUUGUAAACUUCUUUUAAGAGGGAAGAGCAGAAGACGGUACCUCUUGAAUAAGCCACGGCUAACUACGUGCCAGCAGCCGCGGUAAUACGUAGGUGGCAAGCGUUGUCCGGAUUUACUGGGGGUAAAGGGCGUGCAGCCGGGAAGACAAGUCAGAUGUGAAAUCCCGCGGCUCAACCGCGGAACUGCAUUUGAAACUGUUUUUCUUGAGUACCGGAGAGGUCAUCGGAAUGCCUUGUGUAGCGGUGAAAUGCGUAGAUAUAAGGAAGAACACCAGUGGCGAAGGCGGAUGACUGGACGGCAACUGACGGUGAGGCGCGAAAGCGUGGGGAGCAAACAGGAUUAGAUACUCGAGUAGUC
rnacentral:rRNA from 1 species